rnacentral:rRNA from 1 species
GGGCUCGCAGGCGGUUUCUUAAGUCUGAUGUGAAAGCCCCCGGCUCAACCGGGGAGGGUCAUUGGAAACUGGGAAACUUGAGUGCAGAAGAGGAGAGUGGAAUUCCACGUGUAGCGGUGAAAUGCGUAGAGAUGUGGAGGAACACCAGUGGCGAAGGCGACUCUCUGGUCUGUAACUGACGCUGAGGAGCGAAAGCGUGGGGAGCGAACAGGAUUAGAUACCCUGGUAGUCCACGCCGUAAACGAUGAGUGCUAAGUGUUAGGGGGUUUCCGCCCCUUAGUGCUGCAGCUAACGCAUUAAGCACUCCGCCUGGGGAGUACGGUCGCAAGACUGAAACUCAAAGGAAUUGACGGGGGCCCGCACAAGCGGUGGAGCAUGUGGUUUAAUUCGAAGCAACGCGAAGAACCUUACCAGGUCUUGACAUCCUCUGACAACCCUGGAGAUAGGGCUUUCCCUUCGGGGACAGAGUGACAGGUGGUGCAUGGUUGUCGUCAGCUCGUGUCGUGAGAUGUUGGGUUAAGUCCCGCAACGAGCGCAACCCUUGAUCUUAGUUGCCAGCAUUCAGUUGGGCACUCUAAGGUGACUGCCGGUGACAAACCGGAGGAAGGUGGGGAUGACGUCAAAUCAUCAUGCCCCUUAUGACCUGGGCUACACACGUGCUACAAUGGACAGAACAAAGGGCUGCAAGACCGCAAGGGUUAGCCAAUCCCAUAAAUCUGUUCUCAGUUCGGAUCGCAGUCUGCAACUCGACUGCGUGGAGCUGGAAUCGCUAGUAAUCGCGGAUCAGCAUGCCGCGGUGA